AGCUGUAGAAGAUGUUACAGAAAAGAAAGCAAAAAAAUAUUAAAGCCAAAACAAAACCUCCCAGGAAGACUUGGGUUUUACUUGCAUCCUACUGAUGCAGUACUGAUUUUCUGGAGGACAUAUUAACAGUCUAAUUUCAAGCAAAAUCAAGGCAGAAACAAUCUCCCCUCUACUUCCUUUCCAAAAGAAAUUUCAGGCUAUGACACAGCCUCCUAAGAGUGUUAAAAACAGAACACCUCCAAGUCAGAAGCAACCUGAAAAGAUGAUCUGGUUCAACUUUCUGUGGGAACAGGAGCCUAGAUGAGAUUAUCUAGUACCAUGUCCAUUUACCUCUUGAAAAGCUGC